GGCCUUAUCACAAAAUAAAGGCAGGCCAGUUUUGGAGGGGAUCCUUGGGGGGACAGAAACAAAUGCAUGUCCCUCCCAAGAGGCUAACCGCUUCAUACAAGUUUCUGGCAGCACCAUCUCCUUGCUGGAGCCACCAAUGCCAGAUGAUGAUGAUGAUGAUGAUCCAAGUCACUGUGUGGCUUCAGUUUUGAAAGGAGCUGAUGGUUUACCUGCUUUUAUUAUCCUUAUUCAAUAAAGGAAGA